AUGCACAGAAGGCAAGCGAGAGCCCUGCGCGGGGCCGGGAGCUGCUCCCCGGGCAGCCACCAGCACAGAGCCGGGCACGGAGCAGGGUUACCUGCUGGCAGGGCUUGGCGCACCCGGGCAUCCCCCGGCCCCAGCAGGCGGGGGUUGAUCCCCGGCGCCCUGCUUGCCAGCGCUGGUACCCGCAGGCAGGAGCGUGCAGGGCUGUGGCUGUGGGUCGCGCGUGGGAAAUGCCCCCGUGUCCCGUUCUCGGCCCCGUGGCCGACCGAAGCCAACGGCAGCGGGUACCGAUGGAAAACUCAUUUCCAGCCCAGCCCGCCUGUUGCUCCGCGCUCCCUGGAAAAAUCCAGAGACUCCUCCCUGUACUCAGAAGGAUGUGGGCGUUUCCUGAGCUGCAGAAUGAGCUUUUUUUCUUUAAAAAGCGCAGGGAAAUAUAAAAAUAGUCCUCUGGCUCUUUUGUCAGACGGUUUUUGGAAGCACGCUCGGCCCGCAGCGCAGUUUCCAGGCGGAGCGGGGCACGCCGCCACCUCCCCUCCAUCGGGGCAGCGCGGUGCUGGCAGGUGGCUGCGGCUGGGGCAGGGAGUGCCCGAGGGAUGGGGCUGCUGGGAGCCAGAGCGCCAUGGGACCCGCUGUGCCGCAGCGGGUUCUGCGGGGUCCCGCCAGCCACAGCUGAGCGUUUCUGCCUCUGGGCCCCUUUUCCCAGCGGUUGGCAGGAUGGUUUGGGAGGUUCCCUGCUUUCCUGUACCGCGCUUCCCGAGCACGAAACAGCUCAAAGCCCUGGGGAUGCUACGAGCACGUGGGCACAGCGCUGGGCUGCACCCGCUUUGCUCACGGGGGCUCCAGCCCCGGUGUUGGGGUGCGUGGAGGCUGAGCCCAUGCAGGCAGGGCUGCCCGGCAGGAAUCCAACUGCUCAGGCCGCCCUGCGACCGAUUAAUCAGUAACCGCUGCCCUCAGGUUGGAGCCGCUCACUCACUCACACCCGGUGAGUGCCCAGUGCGGGCUGCAGGGCUUCAUUCCCACGGCAGUGCUGACAAAGGGCCGCUCUGA
rnacentral:lncRNA from 1 species